rnacentral:rRNA from 1 species
UACGAAGGGGGCUAGCGUUGUUCGGAAUUACUGGGCGUAAAGCGCACGUAGGCGGGUUGUUAAGUCGGGUGUGAAAGCCCUGGGCUCAACCCAGGAAGUGCACUCGAAACUGGCAGGCUUGAAUAUGGAAGAGGGUCGCGGAAUUCCCGGUGUAGAGGUGAAAUUCGUAGAUAUCGGGAGGAACACCAGUGGCGAAGGCGGCGACCUGGGCCAAUAUUGACGCAUGAG